GGUUGUGUUCAUGUUGGGUGCAGUGGUGGUUGUGUUUGUGAACGCUGUUGCUUUAUUAGUAGAGCUGAUCCUUACAGCAAGAACUGGCCAGCGUACCGUGGAUCUGAGAGUUAUUCUCCUUCCUACUGAGUGUGUCUUCGCCAUGUGCUGCCUCGCUUUACAAAUAUCUGCUUUCUGGAAGAAGAAUCGGAACAUAUUAAUACAAGACAUAAACAGGCUGCGACAGAUUUGUGGGUGUAAACAGCAACAGGGGGU